rnacentral:lncRNA from 1 species
UCCAUAUAUGAAUAAAGAACCAAAUCUUCUGUUUAUGAAACCAAAAACACUUUCCUAGAUGCAUAUGUUGAUCUUACAAAGACAAUGUCAGCAUACCGGGUUUAGGACGGGUUCCAUAAAAUUUGAAUUCGAUAAAAACUGGAUUUGAUUUAAAAUUAACCUGACCCAUCAAACCCAACUCGUUUUCCUUUUUUUUUUUAAAAAAAAAAAAAAAAUCCAGACAGGUGAUGUGGGGUGAAUUCAGGCUCACCAAAUAACAAAUUUUUUGUCCUCUCUAAUCUUAGAACCUCAAAACUCAGAGAGAGACUGUUUUACAACUGGCUGACCUGUCUACCAAUCAGCAAAUGAUUUUCUGGAGAGAUGGUUGGCGGUACGUACUUUACAAGGUCUGUUUCUAGCCCACAUUCCUUAACCCACAUCAAUCUCCCCAUGUCUAUAAUCUGCUUGCACAUCAACCCUAGAACUGCCCUUUCACACUGCUCCAUUUUCCUCACAGUAUCUGCAACACUGCCUGAAUGCUCCUUCUCACUGUCAAAACAUCAAAUAUAUAUAAGUUUCUGAUUACAUGAAAUUCCUCAUUCAGAUUCCAAAGAAGCAUAAUAAACCAAUUUUUUCUACACUAUUAAUGAAAUUACAUGUGAAUAUGCAUUCCGCAAUCAAUGACAUUGGAAACACCAGAACCGUGAUCACCAUCAACUGCCCAACUAGUAAACCAUGUGAUUGCAUGGAAUUCCUCUUUCGAAAUUCCGAAUUUGGACAAGUAGGAUUUGUCUGUGAGGCAGCCAAAAAUACCAGAGUUAGAUCAUAAAUAUAAGGAGUCCACCACAGUUCAACUAUUUGCAUUAUUCGCAAGGAUUAAAGGCUAACUGAUUAUUACUUAUGUAGUGCUUCCACUGGCAAAGAUGAUGACAGCAUGUUGCUAUAGCAAGGCCUCUUAAAGAAGGAUUUCCACCACACUGCUCGACACUACCUUCACCGGAGUAUUCAGCCAGGCAGCAUCUUAGACUCAAAUCUGGAUCAAGUUUUAGGGCGAAAACAGACACAACUUAGUAGAAGUGGCAACAACUUGUAUUUAAUGGAAAAUUUUCUACAAUUCUUAGGGUCCAUAUGUGUCAAAAAUGACCUUAUAAAUAUUUGAUCACCUGUUGCAGGACCGCAGAGAUGUUUACCGACAGCUAUGCACGGACAUCCACGUAAAGACUCAACAGCAUUUAAGUUUAAAUCUUCAACUGCAAAUGUAAUGCAUAAGCAGGAUUUUGUUCAGACUUUUCAGAAGAGAAAUUUGGCACUGAAACCGAUAUGAUCACAGAUUGGUUGGAACUAUAAACAAAAACAUAUGAAUUUUCUGACAGUUGAGCUGAGUGAAAUUCUAAUGUGAUCUCAGAUGAAAUUGUUCUUGCAUCCAGUUUUGGCAUAUACUAUUAAUGUCUGUGGCUUGGCAAUCAAAUUGUUGUUUUUCUUUUUUCUUAUUACUUGUCUGCUCCAGAUUAAUAUAAAAAGAUUCUCAACUCUUGUCCAAAACUUCUCAAUAAAAAGAAUCAAGAGUACAUAUAUGAAAAGUGCAAUCUUGUAGUAACAAUUCUGUUUGAAACUAGAUUCUUAAACACUUGCUUGUGAUAAGAAAAACAGUUUUUCUUUGGAAGAGCAAGAAUAUUAUUUGGAAAAGAGUGCAAUAAUUCUAACUGUAAAAUCAGUAUCACCACCUUCAUCACUUACGAAAAAUUACUGUUUUCUAGGAAUAAUUUCGGCUUUCAUCACAAUUUCAUUGUUGUUUCAUGAUUCCUAUUAGUCUCCCCAAGACUAGGUGAAAGUCCAUGGUGCCCUAUGGCAACAUGCCUCUAAUUUUUUUUUGUCCUAACAUUUUGCAACAAUUCUACACCAUGAUAUAUUAAUUCAAUAAAAAAAUUGUUCUAAUCAGCCAGUGCUGCAAAACAGUAUCAAAUUAGCAAGCAGUGUUUUCUAAUCAUUGUAUAAUGUCCAAAAGUUACUAUGUUGGGUUAAAAAAGGCAUGGUGCUGCAUAUGCAUCAUAGUAACACUCACAAUGCCGAAACUACCAUGAUAGGUCCCAAUUAGAAUUCUGUUUAAUUUGAUAAGAAAUUUUUCUCGUUUGGGUGAGAAGAAUCACAAAUUGUUUGCAAAUUUCAGAUGCCUCUUAUUGCUGCAAAUGAGUGUUUAAAUACAUAAAAUUUUCAACUAAACUACCGAUAAACUAGGGGAAAAAAUUCAAAAAUAAAAGAUAAGCUUAAGGAUAAGAUUGAGCUGAUUCCGGCUAACAUUUUCUGCACAUUUUCUUCUUCUUCUUCUGCACGUUCUGCACAUGUGCUUUUACUCAGUCCAAAUACCGUUUGGGUUUGAUGGUGGGACAUUGUGGCCUUUGCGGUUUAUCAUUGCCUCCCCCUUUUUUGGGAACCUUGUUCUCAAGGUUCAGGUUGCCAAAGUGUUCUUGCAGUGCUUCAGCAUUUUCUCAUGUUGUAUCUUCUCCUGGCAGUUGUUUUCAUUGGACCAAAUUUUCUUUUACAAUGCGGGAGUCGUGCUUUGCCCAACAGGCAUCAAGGAUGGCAUCUGGUUAUAGAAUGAGGUCGCUUUCAUCUGUCAUUGCUGGUAGUGCAUCCGGGCAAUUGGGGGUGUCUCCCAUUUUCCUUUUGAGCAUGGAUACAUGGAAGACUGGGAGUAUUCGGGCCUCAGAAGGGAGGUUUAGUUUGCAUACGAUCGGUUCGAUCUUUUGUAUGAUUUUGUAGGGUCCAUAGAAGCGACAAGCCAAUUUUUGAGAAGCCUGCUUGAAGGUUGACUGCUGUCUGUGGGGUUGUAGCUUAAGAAAUAUCCAGUCCCCUUCCUUAAAUUGAACAUCGCGUCUCUUGGCUUUGGAGAACUGUUCUGUUUUGUGCUGUUUGCUGAUUGAUCUUGAGCUGUCUGACUAGCUCAUCUCUAGUAGUUAACUGAACAUCAACUUCGUCAACAGAGGUUGUACCUGGUUGGUACUUGGGAAUGACAGGUGGUGGGAGGCCGUAAAGAGCCUGGAACGGGGACAUACCAAUGGCUGAGUGAUAGGUAGUAUUGUACCAAAAUUCUGCCCAUAGAAGUAUUGCGCUCCAUUUGCGAGGUUGUUGGUGACUAAAGCAGCGUAAGUAUUGUUCGAGACACCGGUUGACUACCUCGGAUUGCCCCAUAUGUUUGCGGGUGAUAAGAGGAGCUCAUCUUUAGUUGGGUUCCUGAGAGCUUGAAGAACUCUUGCCAGAAAUGAAUAAUCAAUACUGGGUCCAGAACACUUACAAUUGAUGUAAGCAUGCCAUGCAAUUUUACUAAACUGUCCACAAAUCUCUCGGCUAUAGUCUUGACUGAGAAAGGAUGAGAUAAAGCAACAAUAUGAGCUGAUUUACUAAGGCUAUUGACUAUCCAAAUAUGACAGUUCUCCCAUUGGAAGGGGGAGUUCUUCAAUAAAAUUCAUGGUGUGUCAUCCCAUACCUGACAUGAAAUUGGCAAAGGUUGAAGAAGACAUGCCGGGGAGAGAGUUUCCACUUUUGCCCUUUGGCAUGUGUCAUAGGCCGAAACAUAUUAGUGAAUUGUUUUGUGCAUUGUGGGCCAGUAAAAUUGUUGGGCUAGGCGUUUGUAAGUUCUGAGUGGCCUGAAUGACCUCCCAAUGAAGAGUUAUGAAAUUUUUGGAGUAAUUGUUGAUUAAUCUUAGUAUCUGGGGUAUCACUACCUGAUUCUUAUAAUAGACCAGCCCAUUUCUCUCUAUGUACAGUUGCCCUAGGUUGUGAGAGGCUAGUUUCUUAAGUUUCUACAUAUAAGGAUGCUCAAGUGCUGCAUUCUGAAUGCUGUCCCAGAUAUUACAAUGGGGAGCAGAUAGGUUAUGUAAGACAGGGCUUCCUUUUUUACGGGAGAGGGCAUCUGCAGCGGAGUUUUCUUUUCCUGCUUUGUAGAGAAUCUCAUAGUCAUACCCGAAAAGCUUGGACAUCUAUUUUUGUUGUUCUGGGGUAGUGAUGGUUUGCCCUAUAAAAUAUUUGAGACUUCUUUGAUUUGUCUUGAUAAAAAAUUUAUGGUCAAGGAGGUAGGGUCUCCAGAGUCGUACAACCACGACUAUUGCUAAUAUUUCUUUUGCAUAGACGGACCAAGACUGCUUUGAUAUUCCGAGGGCCCUGCUCAUGUAGACUAUGGGUUUUCCAUCUUAAGUGAGGACUACCCCAAUUCCCUCUCUUGAAGCAUUUGUCUCAAUGGUAAAUGGCUCAUUGAAGUUGGGUAAAGCUAAUGUUGGGGUGGUGGUCAUAGCUUUCUUCAAAUUUUCAAAUGCUUCCCCUGCUUCCGAUGUCCAUUCAAAUUUCCCUUUUUUAAUAGGUUGGUCAAUGGUCGGGCUAAGAGUCCAUAUUUGCACACAAACUUUCUAUAGUACCCUGUUAAGCCCAAGAAGCCUAUGAGUUCGGUGGUGUUGCUUGGUGGAGGCCAGUGAGUCAUAGCCUGAAUCUUUUUCUGAUCAACUUUUACUCCGUCAGAGGUGAUAAUGUACCCCAAAUAUUCAAUUUCUUGUAACCCAAACUCACACUUCUUUAGCUUGAGAAAGAAUUGAUUAUGUUUUAAGAUUUCUAGUACCUAUCUCACAUGAUCAAGGUGGAGAGUCCAAGUAGUACUGUAUACCAAAAUAUCAUCAAAAAAUACUAGAACAAACUUACAGAGAAACGGUUAGAAUAUGUCGUUCAUGAGAGCCUGAAAUGUGGAGGGGGUGUUGCAUAGGCUGAAGGACAUUACCAAAGAUUCAUAAUGACCACUAUGAGUUUGGAAGGCGGUCUUGUACACAUCAGGUGGGUAUACUCUGACUUCGUGGUACCCAGCUGUGAGAUCCAAUUUAGUGAAAAAAGCGGCACCAUGUAACUCGUCGAGCAUGUCAUCCACGGUUGGGAUAGGAAAGGCGGUCUUUGAUGGUGACCGCGUUAAGAGCACUAUAAUCGGUGUAGAAUUGCUAGGUGCCAUCUUUCUUCCGUACUAGCAAUACCGGGGAUGAAAAAGGGCUAGUGCUGUGCUGUGCUGUAUGAGCUCGGUCUUAAGCAUUGCAUCCAUCUGUUUCUCUAUCUUAGCCUUCUGAAAGUAAGCGUACCGAUAUGGGCGGACAUUUUCCGGUUCAGCCCCUUCGCAGAGGGUUGAUGUGGUGGUCAAUUUUUCUGGCCGGUGCAGUGAAUCAGGUGUGCGGAAGAUUGCUUGGAAUUCAUCCAAAACAGCUUGCAUAUCAGGCUUGACUUCGGCAGUGGGUGUGGUGGAGGCAUCGACCUUUACACAGAGGGCAAACAAAGAGGGCCGUUUGCUGAGCUCUCUGGCCAUGGUGUCACCGGAAGUGGGUUGUAUCGGUUCGGUCUGCAUGCCUUGCAAGCGGUGGAGCCGGCGGUCCUUGGUGAACUCCAUCGUCCCGACUUUCCAGUCACAAUAGACCGGAUCCAAACUUCCCAACCACUGAUGCCUAAAACCAAAUCCAACCUGAUCAAUGGUAAAGCAACGAGAGUGAGUCAGAAAGGAAUAUCGUUUAGUAGCACCGGGAUAUCUUCAAAGCGGCCUCAACAUCUCAUCGGCUCGCCAUUUGUGACCUUGACCGGGAAGGGAGGUGUCGGCACCACUAAUAGCUGCAGAAAGUUGGCGAGUCGCUCACUGAUGAAAUUGUAAGUUGACCCACUGUCGAUGAGGGCAAUGGAUUCUUGUUUCUGAAUGUUGGUGCGAACCUUCAUGGUUUUUGGAGUCGACCACCCCGUGAGGGCAUGGAGGGAGAUUUCUGGUUCCUUGGGUCUUGCUUCCUCUUCGUCUUCUUCAUUCUCGCCUUCAAGGAGCAAGAAUUGCGGCUGUUUGCAUCGGUGGCCUGCGGUGAACUUCUUGUCGCAAUGGUAGCACAAACUCUGCGCUUGGCAGCGUUGUGCCUCAUUCUAGGAGAGGUGUCGGGGUAGAACGUUUGUGGCAGCUAGGGUUUCUAGUGGACCGGUCCGGUUUUGAGGGACCUGGACCAACCUCUUCUGCCGGUUCAGCUGUUCCUCCCUCAUGCGGGCUAGACUGGUGGCCUCUUUCAGUGUUGUGGGCCUAAACAUGCGGAUGUCUUCCGCAAUUUCGGGCUUAAGCCCGCUGAUGAAAGUGCCCACUAGCGCUUUCUGGGUCCAGCCUUGCACUCAAUUUCCCAACUUCUCAAACUCUUUCUGGUAUUCGCGUAAUGGGCUGGAUUGCUUCACACGGGAGAGGGCCUCAUCAAAGUCUUCGCACUCCGUCGGCCUGAACUAGGCCCAAAGUUCCUCCUAAAAGAUAGCCAAUGUGACCUCUUUCCCUUCUUCUCUAUAUGUGCUGCGAAGCCACUGCCACGCCCGUCAGAUGAAAGGAGGCUAAGGAGACCUUCUGAUUGUCGGUGAUGUUGUGGAAGUCGAAGAAUUGCUCAGCUCGGUUACACUAUUCGGUCGGGUCGUCUCUGUCGAAGGUGGGGAAGUCCAGCUUUGUGAUUUUGGAACCGAACAUCGAUCAUUCCUCUUCGGUCCGCUCGGGAACUUCUUCGCGAGGUAGAUGCCAUUGCCUGGGACGGUCGGUGGUGUUGCUGCUAGCACCCUCCCUAUUGAGCAUCAGGGAGUUAGCAAGUCGUCGGACUGUAUGUUCGAGCUGAAGCAUGCGGUCGACCAGGCCGACCUCCAUUCGGCUGAGAUGGUCUUGCAUUUUGCCCACACUGUUUUCCAAGUUUUCUAUUCUUUCCUUAUUGGUGGCCAUGGCUCUGAUACCAAUUGAUACGUCUCAAUUAGAAGCUUGUUUAAUUUGAUACGAAAUUUUUCUUGUUUGGGUAAGAAGAACCACAAAUUGUUUGCAAAUUUCAGAUGCCUCUUAUUGCUGCAAAUGAGUGUUUGAAUACAUAAAAUUUUCAACUGAACUACUGAUAAACUAGGGGAAAGAAUUCAAAAAUAAAAGAUAAGCUUAAGGAUGAGACUGAGCUGAUUCCAGCUAACAUUUUCUGCACGUUUUCAUCUUCUUCUUCUACACGUUUCUGCACAUAUACAUUUAAACUCCGUCCCAAUACUGUUUGGGUUUGANNNNNNNNNNNNNNNNNNNNNNNNNNNNNNNNNNNNNNNNNNNNNNNNNNNNNNNNNNNNNNNNNNNNNNNNNNNNNNNNNNNNNNNNNNNNNNNNNNNNNNNNNNNNNNNNNNNNNNNNNNNNNNNNNNNNNNNNNNNNNNNNNNNNNNNNNNNNNNNNNNNNNNNNNNNNNNCCAGAUAUAAUUUCUGUACCAGUACUCACUCACAAAUUCGUAAUGGAAACUGCCGCGACCAUGUUUACAUUUGCAGAACAGAAGAUUAUUAACUGAAUCUGUGUUAAAGCAUAAACAAUCAGGCAGCUGAUUUAAAGGAUUUUCAUAAUCUAUUUUCGCUUGAAGUCCAAAAGUGUUUCAGGAUAAAGCUGAGAACAUACGGACCUAUACCUAAUAAAC